UCAGUUGUCUGUAGCCUACUUCCCGCUGCUCUGAAGCCGGGCAUCACCUCACAGCUAGCACAUGGUAAUGUCUUCCAUGAGUUCACCUGGAACUCCCAGACAGCAAGAAUUUUAAGUCUGUUUCUCUUUG